GCCGCGGUGGUGAAAUUGGCAUACACGUCAGCUUUAGGAGCUGAUGCCGUAAGGCGUGAGAGUCCGAGUCUCUCCCGCGGCACAA
rnacentral:tRNA from 1 species